rnacentral:rRNA from 1 species
CCUACGGGAGGCAGCAGUGAGGAAUAUUGGUCAAUGGACGGAAGUCUGAACCAGCCAUGCCGCGUGCAGGAAGACGGCUCUAUGAGUUGUAAACUGCUUUUGUACAAGGGUAAACCUGAAUACGUGUAUUCAGCUGAAAGUACUGUACGAAUAAGGAUCGGCUAACUCCGUGCCAGCAGCCGCGGUAAUACGGAGGAUCCAAGCGUUAUCCGGAUUUAUUGGGUUUAAAGGGUGCGUAGGCGGAUUGAUAAGUUAGAGGUUAAAUGUCCGAGCUUAACUCGGGAACCGCCUCUAAUACUGUUGAUCUAGAGAGUAGAUGCGGUAGGCGGAAUGUAUGGUGUAGCGGUGAAAUGCUUAGAGAUCAUACAGAACACCGAUUGCGAAGGCAGCUUACCAAUCUAUAUCUGACGUUGAGGCACGAAAGCGUGGGGAGCAAACAGGAUUAGAUACCCCAGUAGUC